GAUGUACUCCCUCCGUCCCAAAAUUCUUGUCUUAGAUUUGUCUAGAUACGGAUGUACCUAAUACGUACUAAAAUGUGACUUGAUACAUCCAUAUUUAGACAAAUCUAAGACAAGAAUUUUGGGACGGAGGGAGUAGGAA
rfam:Triticum aestivum genome assembly, contig: Triticum_aestivum_CS42_TGACv1_scaffold_621693_7DS